AGUCGCGUAACUCUCGUAGCUAGGGAGAAAGAGGGGAAAACAAGCCAACUGAUUCCUAUUGAGCACAAACCCUAAUUUCGACGAUCUGAUGGAGAACGACAAGCAGAUCGAAUCUCACCACCGCAAGCACCACCGUUCGUCUUCACCGUCCGACGAGGCCGAUAAAUCAUCGAAGCGGCACAAGCACCGUCAUCACAAGCACCACCACAGGCGCCAUCACCGGCAUCACCGUGAUAAGAAGGGCGACGAUGAGACAGAGCUGAUGGAUGUUACUCCGAUUGGAGUUAGUCACGGCGGUGAGGAUGACGUUGAGGAGGGGGAGAUUCUAGAUGAAGAAGGGCUCGCCAAUGUUAAGACGCCAGAUUCCGACGACGAAUCAGGAGAAAUCAAAUCCGAUCAAUUUCAAGGCUACCAUCUGCCUGUCGAUGGGGUUUCUGGUGCUCGGAAUGCCGAGACUUCUAAUGGUGUUCUAACUCGUGAAUCUGAAAGGAAGGACAAGAGGUGGUAUAAAGAGUAUGGAGGUCCUUCAGACAGAGUUGGUAAGAGAAGUGAUGAUAAUGGGAGGAGCUCACUUUCUUUGGAAAACUCUGAGUCUGAGGAGAAGCGUAAGAAUAGUAACUGGUCACCGACAAACCGCAGGCAGUCUAACGAAGUCCGUGCUCGGAGUAGGUCUAGGUCACAUGAUCGGGAGAGGGAAAUGUCAAGAUCAAGGCUUGUUGCGGCGGAUGAGUUUCCGGUCAGAGGGAGACAUCAUGAUCCGAGUAGGGAUUAUCUAUAUGACAGAGUUGAAGCAGGGAGAACUGAGGACAAUUAUUAUCGACGUGGGCGAUAUGGGGAAGAUGACAGGCAAUAUGGUCGAGAAAUCUUGGAAAGAGAAAGAAGUAAGGAGAGGGAUAUGGUCCGGGAGGGAAGCAUACGAGAUAAAGAUUCAGAAAGAAGUAAACGGAGAGAGAGAGAUAGUGAACGUAGAAAGGAAAGAGAACGAGGGAGUAGGAGGGAGAUUGAGGCUGAGCGUGAAAGGCUAAAAGACUAUGAACGGGAGCGAAGCAUUGAUAGGGAUAGGAGAAGGGAAAGGGAAAGGGAAAGACGAGGUAGGAGCAGUGAUAUGGAUAGGAGAAGGGAGAGGGAAGACGAUUAUGUUCGAGACAGAGACAAUGAAAGAGGUAAGAGUAGAGAUAGAACAAGGUAUGAAAGUAGAGAGAGGAAGAGAGAAAAGGAAAGGGAGAAUGACAAAGAUAGGGACAAAGGAAGAGAACUCAAGACUGAUACCGAGAAGUAUAAAAAUGUUGAUGUGGACAACGGGGAAAGGUAUUCUCUCAAUAGUCCUAACCCUUGUGAAUAUUUCAUUACAGAUGAUAAAGCUUUGUUAUAUUGUGUGGCUCCUAACUAUUUUGCGAUCAGGUCCAGAAAUGAGGAUGCUCAAAAUGAUAAUGACGAAGGAAUUAUAUGGAAAUCUCCGGAGGAAGAAGAAGAAGAACUAAACAGAAUCAAGGAGGAGAGUAGGAAGCGAAUGGAAGCCAUACUGGAGAAAUAUAAGAAGAAGCCCGAUCAGCAAAACGAACUUUCUUCGCAGGAUAAGGGGAAAGAUGAUGUUAAAGAAAAUGGUGCUCCAGAUUCGGCUUCUUCCUCUAUUGUCAUAGCUGCUAAUGCUGAUCCAGCCAAAGAUAACUCGGACAUUUAUGCUAUAGAUAGUGAUGUUGCCAAAACAUCAUUAACAACUGGUGCGCCACCUACUAUGUUUGGAAUUUCUCACCCAGAGAGGACUUUAGCUCCAGCAGGGCUUGGCGAAGGUAGCCCGAAGAGUGAAAGAUCAGCUGACAUGUUUCAUGAUGAUAUAUUUGGAGAGUCCCCAGCUGCUAAUCAAAAAGUGGACCACACGCGAGGGAAAGGUGAUGGUGUUCCGAUGGUAAGGAGCGGGCUUUAUGAUAAUUGGGAUGAUGCAGAGGGCUAUUACAGCUAUCAGUUUGGCGAGCUAAUUGACGGUAGAUAUGAAGUCAUUGCUACACAUGGAAAAGGUGUCUUCUCUACUGUGGUUCGUGCUAAAGAUUUAAAAGCUGGACCAGCUGAACCUGAAGAAGUGGCUAUAAAAAUUAUUCGUAACAACGAGACAAUGCAUAAAGCUGGCCAGACUGAGGUGCAGAUAUUGAAGAAGCUGGCUGGUUCUGACCGAGAAGACAAGCGCCAUUGUGUUCGUUUUCUUUUAAGUUUUAAGUAUCGGAAUCACCUUUGCUUGGUGUUUGAGUCGCUCCAUUUGAAUCUUCGUGAGGUCUUGAAGAAGUUUGGCCGCAACAUCGGUCUUAAACUCUCGGCGGUUAGGUCUUAUUCAAAGCAGCUAUUCAUUGCCCUUAAACACUUGAAGAACUGUGGGGUUCUUCACUGCGAUAUAAAACCUGACAACAUGCUGGUAAAUGAGAACAAAAACGUCUUAAAGCUUUGUGACUUCGGUAAUGCGAUGUUUGCUGGCAAAAAUGAAGUUACGCCAUAUCUUGUUAGUCGUUUUUACAGAUCCCCUGAAAUCAUUCUGGGGCUCACCUAUGACCAUCCUCUGGAUAUAUGGUCAGUUGGCUGCUGUCUAUAUGAGCUAUAUUGUGGGAAAGUUCUUUUCCCUGGCGCCACAAAUAAUGAUAUGUUACGCCUUCAUAUGGAACUGAAAGGCCCCUUCCCCAAAAAGAUGCUUCGUAAGGGAGCAUUUAUUGAUCAGCACUUUGAUCAUGACUUGAACUUUUACGCUACAGAGGAGGACAAUGUUAGUGGAAAGAUGAUGAAGAGAAUGAUCGUAAAUGUAAAGCCGAAAGAUUUUGGUUCAAUUAUUAAAGGUUACCCUGGUGAGGAUCCCAAGAUGUUAGCUCAUUUCAGGGAUCUCUUAGACAAAAUUUUCAUCCUUGAUCCCGAGAAGAGACUGACUGUAAAACAGGCAUUAGCUCACCCAUUCAUCACUAGCAAAUGAAACUACGUUGCCGUUUUCUCUUCUCUGUUAUAUCAGGAAAUGCUGUCCUCCUCUGUACAUUAUACAUCUUAGUUUUAAUUCGAGGUUCUAAUCUUUGAACUGUCUCCAUUUUCUUUCUGCUGCUUGAGUGCUUUGGUUACAAUGUUGGCGUGGGUGGUGGUGUCUGGGUGGAGUUCUCACCGUUGGCGAUUCUCAAUGGGAAUUUACUGGUUUUAUUGACAUCUACCUACCAUGGCUUAGAGACAGUCCUAAAGUCUUUCAAUGCUUUAAAGGCACACAGGAGAAGGUUUGCUUGGAGGAGAGAGCCGCGCAAGGAAACAAAAUAUGAAGGGCUGUACUCUCUCUCCUCCUGCAAGUUUGGUAAGUAUGUCGCGCUUUGUGUGUUGUGUGCCUUCUCCUCUCAUGAUAUGGCCAUGUUUCACAUUUUUGUCCAUAGCAUGGUAGAAGUCUUUAGAGUUUAAUUUAUUGAUCGGUUCACUUUGGUGGACUAAGGUUAGUAGUUCGCAAGGGAAAAAAUGAAUUAGUUAACCUUUUCACUGGUUUUGGGAGUAUUUCUUUUCAUUGCACAUAUCGUCACU